GGUCUUUUUAAUAAUAUGUGGAAGUCAUUGCAGUUCUUUUGUUUUUAAUGUUUCUAAACUUUUUAUCGCAUGGGUCUUGAUCACGCCUUAAACUUUUAGUUUGCUGUGAUAUUUGUAUAAUUGUGUCUUGCAGUUAACUUCAUGAACAUGAAAUAUUUGCUAUCAACUAUUACUCUUUCAUUUUUUAUCUGAAGUCUAUAUUAUUGCACUUAGAAUUUCAUUAUGCUGGCUAUGCUUGAAUUUUGAGCAUGUAGAAGUCUAUAUUAUUGCACUUUCAAUUUCAUCUUGGGUGGUAGGUGCUUGAAUUAUCGCAUGUAGAAGUUCUCUGUUUUUUACUCUCUUUUGAUAACAGAACAACAAGUUAUGGUGUAGUAUAAGAAUAUGGAAAUGACAUAUUUUGUGAAUUGGAGCAUGUAGAAGUUCUCUGUUUUACUCUUUUAGUAACAGAACAACAAAUAAUAUAGUUAUGUCAAUCAAAUGUAUAGGAUAACUUAUAAGAAUAUGAAAUGACAUAUUCUAUGAAGAAUCAGCUCUAAGUACCACGUUACAUCAUCUUAUAGACACUACUACAUAAUGUUGUGAGUAAGGAAAAAAAAAAAGAAUGAUCAUGAUGCAAAUGACAAGGUUUUUUAUGUUCGAAAGGGGAUGCCAAACGAGCUGGUCAGGAGACGCAAACACUACACCUUUUCUUACUGAGUUGUGUAGGAACAUAUUGAAACCAUUGGACUAGGUAAAUGGUUUCAAUUUAGGGAAACCAUAUUCAGGUUUCAUAUGCAUAUUCAGAUCAAAUUCCAAGAUACAUUUUUUGGUCCAUUCCUAUUGUUUAUAUCUCAUUAAAUGUAUGUUUCUUCUAUGAAUUUUCUGUUGCUUAAAAUUGAUUUUAGAAUGGUUUCAGAGAGUUGUACUCUAAAACCAUUUAGCUGGUAGAAUGGUUUCAGAGAGUUGUACUCUGAAACCAUUUUGCUGGUAGAAUGGUUUCUGGUAGUUGAUGUUUAAUUGUUGCUUCCUAAACCAUUUUGCUGGUAGAAUGGUUUCAAAUGAUUAUGUUCCAGUUACAUCAUUAGUUUAGGCCAUUUGGAGGAACUACAAAAUUAACAUCAGUUCAUUUAUCUUAUCAAUCAAUUAUGAUUAUCUUUUUUUGUAAAACUUAUAAAUUGUUGGAGAUAAUAUGCAAGGUGCUGUGUUUGGAGAGCUACUAGAUUGUCUCUUGAAACCUACAAACAUCAAAGAGAAAAUAUCAAGCUUGAUGCUACUUGCAUCUCUUGGAAGCGAAUGCGAGGAAACUAUGUUAAAACAAUUGAUGUUGUUGGAGUUUGGCAAGAGAACAAUGUUGUUGAAACUGAAAAGACCAUUGAAGCUUUAAAAGAGUUGCAUAGUAAAUUUAGAAAAGUUCUCAGAAUUGAUGUUAUUCUUGUUGUAUAAAUUGUUGUAGACCUUUGGAUGUAUUUAUAUAUUUUAAGUUAUUUUAUGUGUCAUCUUGGGUAGAAAUUGUAAUAUCACCACAUACAUAUUGUAAAGAAUUUAGACCUAUAUUUGUGUACUAUCGAUUAAUGCAAUUAGAUUUCUAAUGAUUUUGCAAUAUCA